rnacentral:rRNA from 1 species
GCAACUAACUUUUCAUGUUCCAAUAUUUGCAUAGAUUCAGUCAAUGGCCUGUGGAUAACGAUGAAAGAAUACUAUUGCUAUAAAUUGCAUACACGGCCAAACAUAUUCAACCCAAUAUUGCAUGGCGGACGACUUUUCCAGCAGUUUGCUGUAGAUACAUACAUCAAGAUUGAAAGCUCUAGACUAGAUUACAUCUGGCAUCAUAAAAAGGAAAUAAGGUCAGAUCUAUAUCAAGGCCUUCUAGACAGCAUUCAAGCUGGAGAAGAAAAGGGAAACGCAGUCGGAAAAUAG